CAGCGCCCAGCGCCAAGCUGCAGCUCCGCAGCGAGACAAACCUCUGGGCGGAGCUGCAGACGUAGCGGAGGAGAAAGCACUACGUCACUGCGCGAGGCGGCCAGCGGCUGUGAGUGACAGCACGCCUCACGCGGAAGUACGAACUGCCCCAGCGCGCGCAGGCGCAACGCACAAUUACGCUAUCCGGCGUGAUUUGGCUUCUCGCGAGAAGUUGGCUUUACGCGUUAAAAGUGACAGUGUUUCAUAAACAGUUAUUGGUUUGAGAAAAUUUAGAGAAAACGGUUCCAAGAAAGACGUAGGUCCUGCCGCCACCCCCGUCGCUGAGCCAGAACUUUCACCGGAUCGCCGUGGGGCGGGACAGCGUCUAGGCUUCCGGGUGAUUUCCGGAAAUAGGGCGUCCGUGCGCAAAGCGUCUUUGCUUCUGGAAACGGCUCGGAUGCUCCCCCGGCUUUGCCCUCAUCUCCUUGUAAGCUUACAAAGUCUGUGGUCACAAGAAACCUGCCAACAGUAACUGGGGAACUUCCUUCCUUGUCUAUGAGCACCUUUGUAAUCCGGGAGCAACCGCAGCGAGGUGUAUCCGGAUCUGAGAAGCAGCAACAAGAAGAAACAGGAAGAAGUCUCCUACAGGGAAGGUGCGCAGAGCGCAGGAAGCGCUGUUUCCCCUCCUGCUGUCUUUGUUCAACCUAAUGAACUACGUAGCAGACGCGCUACUUCCGGAAGAGACAGCCAGGGCUUUAAAAGUGGGAAAUCUCGCCAAAGAUCUGCGUCUCCGUGAAAAGAACCAUGAGUGAGCGCUGAGAAGCCUGUCUUUACCGCCAGCUAAGAGAGCAGGGACGAACUGAGAAUGACAGGAUAGAUCUAGCGGAUAUGCCAGCGGAAGUCCCUAGGCCCCUUGAAUGUGACAUGUUCGCUGAAAAUCCUAUAAAUGCUUCUAAUAUAAAGGUAUUCAUCCUAGAUAGAAAUAACAUAUGGCUUUUACUGCAGACAUUUUGUUUUGAAAAUUCUGGAAAACAUCUUAAUAGGAACAAAGUUUACUC